GGAAGAAAACGAGAAGGGACGGACAAACACAAACUUCCAUGUUUGGAAGUUUGUGUUUGUCCGUCCCUUCUCGUUUUCUUCC
rnacentral:pre_miRNA from 1 species